rnacentral:rRNA from 1 species
GACGAACGCUGGCGGCGUGCCUAAUACAUGCAAGUCGAACGAGAGCGACCGGUGCUUGCACUGGUCAAUCUAGUGGCGAACGGGUGAGUAACACGUGGGUAACCUGCCCAUCAGAGGGGGAUAACAUUCGGAAACGGAUGCUAAAACCGCAUAGGUCUUCGAACCGCAUGGUUUGAAGAGGAAAAGAGGCGCAAGCUUCUGCUGAUGGAUGGACCCGCGGUGCAUUAGCUAGUUGGUGAGGUAACGGCUCACCAAGGCCGUGAUGCAUAGCCGACCUGAGAGGGUGAUCGGCCACAUUGGGACUGAGACACGGCCCAAACUCCUACGGGAGGCAGCAGUAGGGAAUCUUCCGCAAUGGACGCAAGUCUGACGGAGCAACGCCGCGUGAGUGAAGAAGGUUUUCGGAUCGUAAAACUCUGUUGUUAGAGAAGAACAAGUGCUAGAGUAACUGUUAGCGCCUUGACGGUAUCUAACC